rnacentral:rRNA from 1 species
AUUGAACGCUGGCGGCAGGCCUAACACAUGCAAGUCGAGCGGAUGAAGGGAGCUUGCUCCUGGAUUCAGCGGCGGACGGGUGAGUAAUGCCUAGGAAUCUGCCUGGUAGUGGGGGAUAACGUCCGGAAACGGGCGCUAAUACCGCAUACGUCCUGAGGGAGAAAGUGGGGGAUCUUCGGACCUCACGCUAUCAGAUGAGCCUAGGUCGGAUUAGCUAGUUGGUGGGGUAAAGGCCUACCAAGGCGACGAUCGGUAACUGGCCUGAGAGGAUGAUCAGUCACACUGGACCUGAGACACGGACCAGACUCCAACGGGAGGCAGCAGUGGGGAAUAUUGCCCAAUGGGCGGAAGCCUGAUGCAGCAACGCCGCGUGCGGAAUGACGGCCUUCGUGGUGUAAACCGCUUUCGCCUGUGACGAUGCGUGAUUGACGGUAAUGGGUAAAGAAGCACCGGCUAACUACGUG